UACACAUAUUCACGUUGUAAAAAUUAAAUAAGAAAACAUCUCUAUUGCAAAUGCAAACCCUUUCAUCAGUGUCAAUGUCAGUGCCGUAUUGCCCGAAAGCUACAUGAACUCGCAAAUCGGAUCUGAACAGUUGCGAUAAACAGUGUGGACAUCAUUUUAGAUCAGAUUCCAAUCGGAUACAAAGAUAUCGAAUUUGGACUGACAUUGUGAAUGUAGCCAUAGUUAUACGUUAACAUUUUUUGCACUCUUCUCUUUAACUUUUGGCAGUCUAUAGACCAAAACUCGCCUAGACCUACGAACACAAAACAGGAGCGUAAACAUCGGUAUUCGGUCGUUUGAAGAAUGUUUUAUUUAUUCAUUUAUUCGUUCAUGCCGUUUUACAACAUAUUAAUUCAUUUCCAUGAACGAAAAAAAGGAACAGGAAGAAGAAAAAAUCUUGUAAUACUUGUCCCUAUUUGUGCACAGUAAAAGAAACAGAAGACAAAAACAGCUGCUUCAGAACCAAUGACGGAGAAAACCCAGUUGGAAUGACCACGUACUUCUUUUUGAUUGACAGGCUGCGUGGUGCUACUAAUGAAGGCUUGUAUGCAGAUGAGGGGCUGAGGUCGUCUCUAGAGCAACGCUGUGCUUUCUAACCUGGUGACCUCUACCAUGGCUUUCUGACUGCUACAGGGGAUUUAUCAUGGAUCAGUAAUGGUGACGCACAGUUGUUCUAUGGCAGAAGCCGAUGCUAAUACAGUGAGUGAAUACUGGGCCUGUGCCAGGACUGAAAUGGUCCAGGUGAGGACAUCAGGAGAGGACACCGCACUGUGUGUGAGUAUGUGUGGGUGUGUGUGAAAUCGUUCAGACAAUAACUCUACGAAUCUUUGCUUCAAGGACACUGGACAGUGGUUUUAGCAACUAACUCCUUAACACUGCUGUAGACUUUCUCUUUUACUCUUUUAUUCUGCUCAUAUCGUUUUUUUCAGUCUCUCCUUUUGUUUUUCUUAUAAUAAUCACAUCUGUGGACUGGAGUUUUGUUGUCUUGUGUAUAUGUCUCCAGCCACACUUCAAAAUUCUCUUCAGGGAUGUCCUCGAAGGGAAAAAUGAAGUGAAAUUAAAGUUGGUCAGUAUUAAAAAAAGAAUUCUAAAACUGCACAAGAAAAUUAGGCUUAGCAUAUUGUCAUUACUAUGCUGCGAAGGGAGUCUCAAGAGAAGCCAGGUUAUCCCGGUAAAUGUUGAUAUGAAAAAUCAGGUACAUUUAGCAAUAUAGCAGGUGAAUUAUGUAUAUGAUGUAUAUUACGAUGUUAUGAUGAACUACAUGCCUUUCUCCAAUGACGUUCUAAUAAGUUCAAAGCGUUUCUAAGGAUGUUUUAGAAGGAAGCUGUCUGACUCUGAGAUGGUGAACGGGAACAUGGUUUGUGUAACAUUAGCAACACACUAUUUGCUGUUUGAUUACGUAGUCCAGCCAAACUGAUCAUAUCAAUUACCGUAAUGUGUCCAACUUUGUACAAAACGCAUCACCAUUCUGAUACAUCAACUUGUAGACGAGCCUGUAUAAUUCACUCUUCUUCUGAAUCAGUUUCUGGUUCAAAUAUACAAUAUACGGCUGUAUUAAACCAAUAUUUCCACUU